AGACCGUGAACCCCACGGGGGACGGGACCGCAUCGAAACUGAUUCUCUGACGUCUCCCCGCAGAGGCUUUAGCAGAGGGUUCCGGGGAGACGCGGAGGAAGCGAAUGAAGGGGAAGAGGACUUCGGCUUGGGAACAGCACGGCAACAAAGUGAUUCGGCCGAGCGCUGGGGUUCAAACUCCCCUCGAACAGACCCUGAGCCCUGAAUCUGGAUCAAACCUACUUCUGCGGACGCAGUAAGCGGUCACCCCAGACCCAUUUACGAUGGCAAAGACCCCAAGGUAAUCGCUCCGGAGGCAGUUGAGUCUGCACGAGUGGGUUGGCGGGAAG